rnacentral:ncRNA from 1 species
CAGCGAGGACGGCCUCGCGACGCAACGCGUGAACGCCCGGGGACGGCCCCA